rnacentral:rRNA from 1 species
AGAGUUUGAUCAUGGCUCAGAUUGAACGCUGGCGGCAGGCCUAACACAUGCAAGUCGAGCGGAUGAGAAGAGCUUGCUCUUCGAUUCAGCGGCGGACGGGUGAGUAAUGCCUAGGAAUCUGCCUGGUAGUGGGGGACAACGUUUCGAAAGGAACGCUAAUACCGCAUACGUCCUACGGGAGAAAGCAGGGGACCUUCGGGCCUUGCGCUAUCAGAUGAGCCUAGGUCGGAUUAGCUAGUUGGUGGGGUAAUGGCUCACCAAGGCGACGAUCCGUAACUGGUCUGAGAGGAUGAUCAGUCACACUGGAACUGAGACACGGUCCAGACUCCUACGGGAGGCAGCAGUGGGGAAUAUUGGACAAUGGGCGAAAGCCUGAUCCAGCCAUGCCGCGUGUGUGAAGAAGGUCUUCGGAUUGUAAAGCACUUUAAGUUGGGAGGAAGGGCAUUAACCUAAUACGUUAGUGUUUUGACGUUACCGACAGAAUAAGCACCGGCUAACUCUGUGCCAGCAGCCGCGGUAAUACAGAGGGUGCAAGCGUUAAUCGGAAUUACUGGGCGUAAAGCGCGCGUAGGUGGUUUGUUAAGUUGGAUGUGAAAGCCCCGGGCUCAACCUGGGAACUGCAUCCAAAACUGGCAAGCUAGAGUACGGUAGAGGGUGGUGGAAUUUCCUGUGUAGCGGUGAAAUGCGUAGAUAUAGGAAGGAACACCAGUGGCGAAGGCGACCACCUGGACUGAUACUGACACUGAGGUGCGAAAGCGUGGGGAGCAAACAGGAUUAGAUACCCUGGUAGUCCACGCCGUAAACGAUGUCAACUAGCCGUUGGAAUCCUUGAGAUUUUAGUGGCGCAGCUAACGCAUUAAGUUGACCGCCUGGGGAGUACGGCCGCAAGGUUAAAACUCAAAUGAAUUGACGGGGGCCCGCACAAGCGGUGGAGCAUGUGGGUUUAAUUCGAAGCAACGCGAAGAACCCUUACCAGGGCCUUGACAUGCAGAGAACUUUUCCAGAGAUGGGAUUGGUGCCUUCGGGAACUCUGACACNGNGCUGCAUGGCUGUCGUCAGCUCGUGUCGUGAGAAUGUUGGGUUAAGUCCGUACGAGCGCACC